ACUAUAGCUAGCUCAACAUACUAAAUAAACAUAAAAUCACACUUAAAUAAAAUAAAACAUUCACCCAACACUAAAGUAUAGGAGAUAGAAAUUUUUUACCUUGACGCUAUAGAGAUAGUACCGUAAGGGAAAGAUGAAAGAAUUAAAUUAAAGUAAAAAAAAGCAAAGAUUAACCCUUCUACCUUUUGCAUAAUGAUUUAACUAGAAAAAAUCUAACAAAGAGAACUUUAGCUAGAUACCCCGAAACCAGACGAGCUACCCAUGAGCAGUUUAAAAGAACCAACUCAUCUAUGUGGCAAAAUAGUGAGAAGACUUGUAGGUAGAGGUGAAAAGCCUAACGAGCCUGGUGAUAGCUGGUUGUCCGAGAAAGAAUUUCAGUUCAACCUUAAAAAUACCUCAAAAAUCUCAAAUUCCAAUGUAUUUUUAAGAGAUAGUCUAAAAAGGUACAGCUUUUUAGAAAGGGAUACAACCUUGACUAGAGAGUAAAAUCUUAAUACUACCAUAGUAGGCUUAAAAGCAGCCAUCAAUUGAGAAAGCGUUAAAGCUCAACAAAUCUACUAACACAAUCCCUAUAAUUGAUAGCAAACUCCUAGCCCAACAUCGGACUAAUCUAUUAAAACAUAGAAGCAACAAUGUUAAUAUGAGUAACAAGAAGCCUUUCUCCUCGCACACGCUUACAUCAGUAACUAAUACUAUACUGAUAAUUAACAAUCGAUAAACCAAAACAACACUAAAACGUUUAUUAAUCAUACUGUUAACCCAACACAGGAGUGCGCUAAGGAAAGAUUAAAAGAAGUAAAAGGAACUCGGCAAACACAAACCCCGCCUGNNNNNNNNNNNNNNNNNNNNNNNNNNNNNNNNNNNNNNNNNNNNNNNNNNNNNNNNNNNNNNNNCUCUUACUUCCAAUCAGUGAAAUUGACCUUCCCGUGAAGAGGCGGGAAUAAGAAAAUAAGACGAGAAGACCCUAUGGAGCUUUAAUUAACUAGUCCAAAAGUUAAAUAACUCAACCACAAAGGGAUAACAUUAAACUUAAUAUGGAUUAUCAAUUUUGGUUGGGGUGACCUCGGAGUACAAGAAACCCUCCGAAUGAUUUUAAUCUAGACAAACCAGUCAAAACAAUUACAAAUAUCCCUUAUUGAUCCAAAAUUUUGAUCAACGGAACAAGUUACCCUAGGGAUAACAGCGCAAUCCUAUUAUAGAGUUCCUAUCGACAAUAGGGUUUACGACCUCGAUGUUGGAUCAGGACAUCCUAAUGGUGCAACCGCUAUUAAAGGUUUCGUUUGUUCAACGAUUAAAGUCAUACGUGAUCUGAGUUCAGGCCGGAGUAAUCCAGGUCGGUUUCUAUCUAUUAUAAAUUUCUCCCAGUACGAAAGGACAAGAGAAAUGAGACCAACCUCACAAAUGUGUCUCAGAGACAAUUAAUGAUAUAAUCUUAACUUAAUUAACUCACAACAAAACCAACCCUAGAACAGGGCAU
rnacentral:rRNA from 1 species